AGCGAACGCUGGCGGCAGGCCUAACACAUGCAAGUCGAACGCGUGUAGCAAUACACGAGUGGCAGACGGGUGAGUAACACGUGGGAACGUGCCCUUCGGUUCGGAAUAACUCAGGGAAACUUGAGCUAAUACCGGAUACGCCCUUACGGGAAAGAUUUAUCGCCGAUGGAUCGGCCCGCGUCUGAUUAGCUAGUUGGUGAGGUAACGGCUCACCAAGGCGACGAUCAGUAGCUGGUCUGAGAGGAUGAUCAGCCACACUGGGACUGAGACACGGCCCAGACUCCUACGGGAGGCAGCAGUGGGGAAUAUUGGACAAUGGGGGAAACCCUGAUCCAGCCAUGCCGCGUGAGUGAUGAAGGCCCUAGGG
rnacentral:rRNA from 1 species